UUUAACAAUCCGAGUGGGGAAGUUCCUGUUGAAAUUCAGUUGGUGCGUUCAAUAUCUGGUUCCAUAUCAAACUUGGUUAAGCUUACCAAUUUGAUUUUGCAAAGCAACAAUCUUGUAGUCAAAUACCCGAAGCUGUUUGGCAAUUGAGUCUGCUAGAGCUGCAGCCUGGACAAAAUGAGCAAAGCGGGAUGUUUCCAACAACGCCAAGGACUUUGCAGAUUGCUUUGAAUAUCAGCAGCAACUGUUUCAAAUGACCCAUUCACUUUCUCAACUUACUAGAUUGGAUGUUUUGUAUCUCUCAAACAACCAAUUCUCUGGCCCAGUUCCUAAUAUUCUGACUUAACUUGUGUCACUUAAGCAGCUGUUAUUUCUAGCAAUAGGCUCUCUGGUGUUCUCGCAAAAGUUUGGUGGACAUGUCUUGCUCCAUUUGAGUGGAAAGCCUGCGCUUCAGAAUUCACCCUUGACAUCACACUCCAGCAUCAACAAAGAAGAAUGCUUUUACAGGAUUAAUGAUGAGUACAGUCAACUGAAGUUGUUCCUCUUUCCCAGGUCGUUCAAGGAAAUCAAUCUGACUGUUUUCUACCUAUUAUGAAGCUAUCAUGCCUUCAGGAACAAGUUACUUUGUCAAAGAGCUUAACUGGAGGGACAAGAUAUGCCAACUGGGCAGCCGGGAUAAAUUUUAACAGGAGCUUGAAAUCUUGGGAAGGAAUAUGCUUACACCAUGAGGGUAACCAUGGCUGGGAAUGUGUAUAGUUUUGGCCUAGUUAUGUUGGAAUUGCUGACUGGAAAGCCUGCAGUCAGUGAGGGAACUAAGUUGGCAAAAUGGGUAUUAAGUAACUCAGCAGGACAACAAGCUAAGUGGGAUCACAUUCUUGAUUUCAACAUCAGUGGAACAUUAGUUGCUGUCAGAAGCCAGAUGCUGGAAGUUCUGAAGAUGGCUCUUGCUUGUGUUAAUGUCUCCCGGGAUGCCAGGCCAAAGAUCAAAAGUGUGCUGCUGAUGCUGCCCAAAGUGGUAUUAAACCUCUCCUCACUGUAGAAACAUGGUACAAAAGCAUUUCAAGCAUAAGAUGAUCUCCUGUAUUCUGACGGUUUCUUUUAUCCCACUCCAGUAAUAUAUAAGGAAGUUUUUUCUUGCCAUAUAUAUAGAACGAAUGGUAACGGCUGAAGCCAACUUCAUCUAACCGUAGUUAAUAAAUGA